rnacentral:rRNA from 1 species
ACGAGCGCUGGCGGCGUGCCUAAUACAUGCAAGUUGAGCGAUGAAGAUUGGUGCUUGCACCAAUUUGAAGAGCAGCGAACGGGUGAGUAACGCGUGGGGAAUCUGCCUUUGAGCGGGGGACAACAUUUGGAAACGAAUGCUAAUACCGCAUAAUAACUUUAAACAUAAGUUUUAAGUUUGAAAGAUGCAAUUGCAUCACUCAAAGAUGAUCCCGCGUUGUAUUAGCUAGUUGGUGAGGUAAAGGCUCACCAAGGCGAUGAUACAUAGCCGACCUGAGAGGGUGAUCGGCCACAUUGGGACUGAGACACGGCCCAAACUCCUACGGGAGGCAGCAGUAGGGAAUCUUCGGCAAUGGACGAAAGUCUGACCGAGCAACGCCGCGUGAGUGAAGAAGGUUUUCGGAUCGUAAAACUCUGUUGGUAGAGAAGAACGUUGGUGAGAGUGGAAAGCUCAUCAAGUGACGGUAACUACCCAGAAAGGGACGGCUAACUACGUG